AGUGAACGCUGGCGGUAGGCCUAACACAUGCAAGUCGAACGGCAGCACAGUAAGAGCUUGCUCUUACGGGUGGCGAGUGGCGGACGGGUGAGGAAUACAUCGGAAUCUACUUUUUCGUGGGGGAUAACGUAGGGAAACUUACGCUAAUACCGCAUACGACCUACGGGUGAAAGCAGGGGAUCUUCGGACCUUGCGCGAUUGAAUGAGCGGAUGUCGGAUUAGCUAGUUGGCGGGGUAAAGGCCCACCAAGGCGACGAUCCGUAGCUGGUCUGAGAGGAUGAUCAGCCACACUGGAACUGAGACACGGUCCAGACUCCUACGGGAGGCAGCAGUGGGGAAUAUUGGACAAAGGGCGCAAGCCUGAUCCAGCCAUACCGCGUGGGUGAAGAAGGCCUUCGGGUUGUAAAGCCCUUUUGUUGGGAAAGAAAAGCAGCAGGUUAAUACCACGCUGUUCUGACGGUACCCAAAGAAUAAGCACCGGCUAACUUCGUG
rnacentral:rRNA from 1 species